ACUCCUACGGGAGGCAGCAGUGGGGGAAUAUUGCACAAUGGGGGAAACCCUGAUGCAGCCAUGCCGCGUGUGUGAAGAAGGCCUUCGGUUGUAAAGCACUUUCAGUAGGGAGGAAGGUAGUGUAGUUAACACCUGCAUUAUUUGACGUUACCUACAGAAGAAGCACCGGCUAACUCCGUGCCAGCAGCCGCGGUAAUACGGAGGGGUGCGAGCGUUAAUCGGAAUUACUGGGCGUAAAGCGCAUGCAGGCGGCCUGUUAAGUCAGAUGUGAAAGCCCGGGGGCUUAACCUCGGAAUUGCAUUUGAAACUGGCAGGCUAGAGUCUUGUAGAGGGGGUAGAAUUUCAGGUGUAGCGUGAAAUGCGUAGAGAUCUGAAGGAAUACCAGUGGCGAAGGCGGCCCCCUGGACAAAGACUGACGCUGAGGUGCGAAAGUGUGGGGAGCAAACA
rnacentral:rRNA from 1 species